UACAGAGGUCCCGAGCGUUGUUCGGAUUCACUGGGCGUAAAGGGUGCGUAGGUGGUGAGGUAAGUCGGAUGUGAAAUCUCCGGGCUCAACCCGGAAAUGGCAUUGGAAACUACCUUGCUGGAGGAUUUGAGGGGGGAUUGGAAUACUUGGUGUAGCAGUGAAAUGCGUAGAUAUCUGGAGGAACACCGGUGGCGAAGGCGGUUCUCUGGGCCUGACCUGACGCUGAGGAGCGAAAGUGUGGGGAGCGAACAGG
rnacentral:rRNA from 1 species